AUUGAACGCUAGCGGGAGGCUUAACACAUGCAAGUCGAACGAGUGGCGGACGGGUGAGUAAUAUAUCGGAACCUGCCCAGUAGCGGGGGAUAACUACUCGAAAGGGUGGCUAAUACCGCAUACUAUUAGAGCGGCCGAUAUGGGAUUAGCUAGUAGGUGGGGUAAAGGCUCACCAAGGCGACGAUCCGUAGCUGGUUUGAGAGGAAGACCAGCCACACUGGGACUGAGACACGGCCCAGACUCCUACGGGAGGCAGCAGUGGGGAAUAUUGGACAAUGGGGGAAACCCUGAGCCAGCCAUGCCGCGUGUAUGAGAAGGCCUUAGGGUUGUAAAGUACUUUUGGCAGAGAGGUGUUACCUGCAGAAGAAGCACCGGCUAACUACGUGCCAGCAGCCGCGGUAAUAC
rnacentral:rRNA from 1 species